UACGUAGGGUGCGAGCGUUUAAUCGGAAUUACUGGGCGUAAAGCGUGCGCAGGCGGUUCGCCAAGUCAGGUGUGAAACUCCCCGGGCUUAACCCGUGGGAAUUGCGCUUGAAACUAGCGAGCGUUGAGUGUGGCAGAGGGGGGUGGAAUUCCACGUGUAGCAGUGAAAUGCGUAGAGAUGUGGAGGAACACCGAUGGCGAAGGCAGCCCCCUGGGUCAACACUGACGCUCAUGCACGAAAGCGUGGGGAGCAAACAGG
rnacentral:rRNA from 1 species